rnacentral:rRNA from 1 species
UACGGGGGGGGCAAGCGUUGUUCGGAAUUACUGGGCGUAAAGGGCCAGUAGGCGGCCAACUAAGUCGGAUGUGAAAUCCCAGGCUCAACUUGGGAACUGCAUCCGAUACUGGAUGGCUUGAAUUCGGGAGAGGGAUGCAGAAUUCCAGGUGUAGCGGUGAAAUGCGUAGAUAUCUGGAGGAAUACCGGUGGCGAAGGCGGCAUCCUGGACCGACAUUGACGCUGAACGGCGAAAGCUAGGGGAGCAAA